rnacentral:lncRNA from 1 species
AUCUCUUUCCAGUUUCCUGCCAAUUCCACCAAAAAGAAAUGGCAUUAGUGUGCUUUGUAGUCAAGAGGGGCUCAUUUCAUAUCUUAGUUCUGCCUUUAACUUGUGUGACUACAGGCAAGUUACUUAGCAGCUCUAAGCCCAAAUUUCCUCAUCUAUAAAAUGGAACUAUGAAUGUUACUUACUUACCUUAGUUCAUCCAUUCAGAAAAUAUUUAUUUUUAAUUUAAUUUAAUUUUUUUUUUUUUUUGAGACAGAGUUUCUCUCUUGUUGCCCAGGCUGGAGUGCAGUGGCACCAUCUCGGCUCACUGCAACCUCCGCCUCCCAGGCUCAAGUGAUUCUGCUGCCUCAGCCUCCCAAGCAGCUGGGAUUACAGACACGUGCCCCCAUGCCCAGCUAAUUUUUGUAUUUUUAGUAGAGACGGGGUUUCACCAUCUUGGCCAGGCUAGUCUCCAACUCCUGACCUCAGGUGAUCCGCCUGCCUUGUCCUCCCAAAGUUCUGGGAUUACAGACGUGAGCCACCGCGUCCGGCCCAGAAAAUAUUUAUUUAAUGCUUUCUAUGUCCCAAGAACUAUUCUAGCUGCUGGAAAUACAACAGUGAACUAAACAAGUCUUAGACUCCAGUAGGGGAGAAAAGAUCAAAUAAAGAUAAUGCAAUAUAACAUUUUUUGCACAGUGCUUGAUACAUAGAAAGUGCUUAAUGAGAGCCAGCUUUAUGACAUUUUUUCACAAGUUCAAGGAAAUAUGCAUGAUUUUCUUUUCAAAAGUCCAAUAAAAUAUGUAGCAUCAAUGGAUCUUAAUAAACAGAAUCACAGAACUGGGAGAUAUGUAGAGUUAUCUUGUCAUAAAAUCACAGAAUGUCCCAGCUGGCAGAAAAUCAGGUAUUUACUUGGUCCAGUGGUUUUCAAACCGGGGUUCUUUUCUGGGGUCCCAAGGGAGAGGCCAACCAGAUCAGAUCAAAUUUGACCUUUUACCUAUGUGAUAAACUGGGGUUCCCAAGGAAAAAGCUUUAUUUAUUUAUUUAUUUAUUUAUUUAUUUAUUUAUUUAUUUAUUGAAAAUUCACUUUGUGCAGACAAGGAAUGUGCAGCUUAGCAUGGGGAAAGCCUCUUUCCAAGUCCCUCUAACGGAGCAGGAAUUGUAAAUGGAGAGCUUUUCAACCAUGUGAUAUUCUGCCUCCCCAAGUAAUUAAAUCAGCAAUUAUGUGUUGAUCACCUUCUACUUGAGGGGCUCCCUGGGGGGUUUAAAGAUAUCUGUCCUUCAUUCCCGACCUCUAGAAGCUUCAAAUCAAGUUGGGGAGAUUCCUGAGCCAUUAAUUAUAAAUUUAUGCAAAGGUUCCAAACUACAUCCUAACAGCAGUGGUUCGUUCCUGAGCCCCACGCCUACCCUUCCAUCUGCAUCCACAGUAUCCCCAACUGGGAGGUCCUAGAGUCCACAAAUUCAGCGUAUCCAAACUCACUCUGUGGUCAACUGUUUCUAAGAUGGUCCCAAUGAUCCCUAACUCCUGGUAUUCAUUCCUUUUGUGGAAUGCCCCCUCGCACACACUGGGGUGUGACCUCACCUAGUAACUUGUUUCUAACAGAUAGAAUAGGGCAGAAAUGAUGAAAUGUCACCUCUAAUAUUGGGUUAUAAAAAGACCGUGGCUUCUAUCUUGGGGGGCUUUCUCUCACUCUCUUGCUCACUCACUCGGAGGGAGGCCACCUGCCAUAUUGUCAUGAGCUGUCCCAUGGAGAGGCCCAGGUGGCAAGGAACUGAUUUCUCCAGUUAGUGCUCUCUGCCUUCAUACUUUUCUGCCUGAAGGCAUUACUUACUUUGUGAAUUAUUUACUGGGCACUACUAGAUACCAGGCACUGUUCUUGGCACUGAGCAUAAAGCAGUGAUAAAACAAAACUCCUACCCCCUUGUAGCUUAUGUUUUAGAUGGGAGAGAUACCACAAGCAAGUCAAUAAUGAAAGCAAGGUAAGAACACAGAGUGUGAUACAGUGGGUGGAGGAGAG